AGCCUGAUGCAGCAACGCCGCGUGAGGGAUGACGGCCUUCGGGUUGUAAACCUCUUUUAGUAGGGAAGAAGCGAAAGUGACGGUACCUGCAGAAAAAGCACCGGCUAACUACGUGCCAGCAGCCGCGGUAAUACGUAGGGUGCAAGCGUUGUCCGGAAUUAUUGGGCGUAAAGAGCUCGUAGGCGGUUUGUCGCGUCUGCUGUGAAAUCCCGAGGCUCAACCUCGGGCUUGCAGUGGGUACGGGCAGACUAGAGUGCGGUAGGGGAGAUUGGAAUUCCUGGUGUAGCGGUGGAAUGCGCAGAUAUCAGGAGGAACACCGAUGGCGAAGGCAGAUCUCUGGGCCGUAACUGACGCUGAGGAGCGAAAGCAUGGGGAGCGAACAGGAUUAGAUACCCUGGUAGUCCAUGCCGUAAACGUUGGGCRCUAGAUGUAGGGACCUUUCCACGGUUCUGUGUCGCAGCUAACGCAUUAAGCGCCCCGCCUGGG
rnacentral:rRNA from 1 species